AUGGGUGUAAAUGUGGAUUAUGUGUCUGGUAACUCAUCUUCCAGGGAAGCCAUCAAUGAGCUGACUCUGGAGGGAGCCCACAGUCGACUAAGCCUGGAUGCCUUAGAGAUGAACACAAGUGUUGGCUCUGAGCUGGAAGACUCUGAGCAGAAGACAGACAGUGAUUCCGACCCAGGCCUGGGGAGCCAGCCCAGAGGCCGCUUCAGCCGACAGCCUGUGAAAUACAUUCGAACACAGGCAAAAAUGACACCAGUCAUUCCCAAGGCUUCCAGUUUGCCCUUGAGGACUACCACAUUAGCAAACAUGGCAAUGGGAUGUGGUGCAGAAGGCAACCCUCCUGGCAGCAGCUCCGUGACAAAGGAGGAGAGCCCUAGGAGGAGGAACAGCUCAACCGACACAAGCACACUCAAGCACCGCUCAGGGGGGAGACAACUGCUCAAGCACUUUGAGAUCACGCAGGAAACAGCCAGGAUUGUCUCAAAGCUUCAGGUCAGUGACACUUCCGCAUCUCUGGAGGGCACAGGAUCUACUGAGGAAGGAGAAGACCUCAUCACAGGCACAUACCUAUAGGAAAACCCCAAAGGAUGUCAGGAUAACACGAGAAGCUGAGGCCACACAGAUUGCCUGGCUUGAAUGAUGUAGCCAGGAAGGAGGCAUCUGAAAUGAAGGACACUGGACAGGAAACAUUCCCAAGUGGUCAGGUUUUGGCUGCUGCAACAAGCACUGAUCUUUAUAACUUUGAUUUCACAGCUUUUUGGAGUGUAACUCACCUUUUGAGUGUAAUACAACAGGGUAGAUGGGCAAAGCUCACAUACUCUGGAUCCUUCUGCUUCCGUUGCUGGAGCUUCCCCUUGCUGGUCAGCACAAAGCCAUUCUGUAAAGAGAAGAGACUGCUGAGCCAGAGCCCAUUUCUCCAACAGUUCACCCCAAUUCCCUCCAAAGCCCAGUGAGCUCCCCUAUGAAGCUGCUUCUACGGUAAAGGCAGCAAAGCCCUGAACCUCCAGCAGAUUUUGGGGAUCUAAAGCAAGGUUGCUGUGACUUGUGAGGUCUCACCUGCAUGUGGGUAACCCCAAAUGCUCCUUCUGGCCUCCUCACAGUGAGCUUUCUGCCCAGCAAGUCUUCACAGGGAGAAUUGUGUCCUGUAGUGCCAUCUCGUGAUGCACGCGUGUGGGCAGGACUCUUCCUACACUUACCACAGACUGUGUUUUGAGCUUGUUUCUUAACAACGUUGUAAAGCAAAUGUUAAGGCUCUAUUCUUACUAUGGGUACAGUUGAGGCUAAAGAGAGUUUGCAUCUCUGGAACAAUGUAUAUUUGUUCAUAUAGUGCUUGGGAUUCUUGAAGAGUAACUUAUCUUUUACUGUAGAACAUCUAUAAUAAACUGUUGGGUG
rnacentral:lncRNA from 1 species